AGGUCUUUGGAUCUUUAUUGACCAUACUUCUGCCUCUCCAACCCCCAUUUUGCCUCUACUCCUUGUGACUUUGAGGAGGAGUUUGGCUGGCCGCCCAGAACAAGUUGAACAGCCUCCCAGGACCAGGAGCCACAAAGCAAAUACAGGCCAGCAGAGAAGCAGGCCCCUCUGUUCUGUAGAAUGCUAGCUCAUUCCAGAGGAAGAGGGGUGUGGGGUGUGUGUGGGGGCGGCGGGGCUAGGGGGAGUCUUGUGGUGGAGACUUGUUGUUCCACUGUGACUCAGCAUUCUGCUCCUCUGGAGGGGUUGGGCUUGGGCUCCAAAAGUGCAUUGUCAUGGAGGGGUAGGGCAGUCUGGAAGGCCUGGAGGGCUGUGGUUUUGUUGUGGAGAGGGAGGGUGGAGAGGAAAAGAGCUGGAGGGAAAGGAUGAGAGCUCCUGACUUCCCCAUAGCACACAGAAGCUUGACUGGGAAUAAAGAGGUCUUGGUCACUCUGCCAGGCUUUGGAUGAUAUUUUUGCCAGAAAGGCUCUUGCGGGGACGUCUCAGCAGAUAUUGGGUCUCUUUCCUUUCCAGUGAUUUGUCCCUCUGCAGUUACAGCUGCCAAAGAGUCCACAUCCACCAUUUGGUACAGUAGGGGCCGAGGGACACCAGGGUUUACAAAUCUCUGUGCUUUGUAGGGCAGAAGGCGAGACCCAAAGGUGGGAAUUCCUCGGGGGAAAUGUGGAGCAGAGUGUGCAAUGGAACGCCGGGGCAACCAUUAAACAUCACGCUCCAGUGAACACCCCGAACUUGGAUCUCCACCAAUGGAUUGGAGCUGAGGAACAACCCGGACAAAACCUCUGAACCAGACACAUUGUGGUCAUCUGUCAGCAGCGGUCAUUUUGUAAUUAAGGGAAUGAAUAUUCUGUGCAGUCCAUGAAGGCAGGGUGUGGGAAGUGCCUCCUGGGUGGUCAGUACUAACUACAGCAGGUAGGAACUAGCCUGUUCCCUCUGGCUGUUUGUAGUAAGCAGAAGCAGGGUGGUCCUGGUGCUGGAGGGGUUUGCAGAUAUUUUUCUUCUGCUCAUGCCUCUGCAGAAGGUGGGGAAGCUGCUCAUGACUAAACUCUUGACCUUCCAGGCUCAUCUGUACACACGCCCCAGGAGGCUUCUGAGGGGAGUCAGGUUGAAAUCCUUUGGACACUAACUGAAACCUUGAUCCCUGUGGUUCAUGACAGAUCAUCAAUUAUGGAAAGGUCUGAUGAACGCUAACAGCACUCCCGACUUCCCCAGCUGAAACCAUAGAGGGUCAAAGACCCAAACUGCUGAGCUCUGCACACAGUGGGAGGAGUGCGGUGGGUGGGGAGGGGAAGGGAGGCAGAGAAUGGCUCAGCAAGAGACCCUGGCUUCUAACUACAGACUCAAGAGAAGUCCCUAGUGAUUAAAUUAAUAAACUGAGCUCAACAAA
rnacentral:sRNA from 1 species